rnacentral:snRNA from 1 species
GUUGUUUUCAAGUUUCUAUG